GGAGAUCGCAGCGGGACAUGCCUCUCUGACUACUGAGACUGGGUAAGGUGGGCAUCUGCCAGGAAGUGGGUGGGGCCAGAGCGCAGCAGGACCCGCACAACCCUUCUUUCUACACUUCCCAGAGACGAUGUAGGAUGAAGGCAGGAGGAGCCACUGAGCAAAACUUCGUGGAGUUGGGUCCAGGGUCCAGUGGCGACAGCGGCUCAUCACCUGAGACCUGACCUGGACAAGCGCGGCCUCCAGGUGUGUCUCUGCUGGUCCCUGGGUGCAAGGGUUGCCUAGGCUACAGAAGAAAGCUUGGUGCAGGGAUAAGGGAUGGAAAGAGGUGGGCGGUAAGAAAAGGACUACAGGGCCAGCGUCAGCCCUGGAAAGUUCCUGUCUCUGUUCCAAGUUCUACAACCUGCCCUGCCUCUUGUCUUUGUCCCAGAACAGGAGGCCAGGCUCCUCCUGAGGAUGGUUUCUGUGACAUCCCACAGUGAAGCAACUUUCCCAGAAUGCUCUGGGGGAGGAAUGGGGAGACAGUGCAUUAGCACUGUAGGGCAGGGUCAUCAGCACACCCAUGACCCCCAAACCUCAGGCUCAAGUCCUCCUCUUAAGUGCUGGCUACAUCACCUUAGGCCAGUGGUUCUCAGCCUUCCUAAUGCUGGGACCCUUUAAUACUGCAGCCUCACGCUGUGCUGACCCCCAACCAUAACAUUAUUCUCGUUGCUACUUCAUAGCUGUAAUUUUGCUACUGUUACGAAUCAUAAUGAAAUCAUUUGACUUGGCAGAGGUUGGGUCCCCCAGAUUGAGAAACACUGCCCUAGACAAAAGUCUUGACUCUGAGUUUCAGUUCUGUCAUCUGUCCUGAGGACCAGAGAAGGAGCACCUUCCAAUUCCUUCAGAAGAAGUUAGAGCAGAUGUGCUGUGUGCCCAAAACUCUUAAGAAAUCCUUCUACGUUAGUCCCCUUCUUUGGAUCUCAAAUUCCUGUGACCUUCUAACCUCCUCCCUCCCGGGACCGAGCCGGAAAUCUAGAAAGUUCUUGACAGGCAAGAGUGUGUGUGGGGGGGAGUCAUUAUUAUUUUGACUGAUUACUUAUGUGUGACUCUUAGCUUUCCCAACCUUACCUGGCUCGCCUCUUACAAAUAGAUGCCUUGUUUUUAGCCA
rnacentral:lncRNA from 1 species